rnacentral:rRNA from 1 species
GACGAACGCUGGCGGCGUGCUUAACACAUGCAAGUCGAACGGAAAGGCCUCUUUCGGGGGGUACUCGAGUGGCGAACGGGUGAGUAACACGUGAGUAACCUGCCCUUGACUUUGGGAUAACUUCAGGAAACUGGGGCUAAUACCGGAUAGGAGCUCCUGCUGCAUGGUGGGGGUUGGAAAGUUUCGGCGGUUGGGGAUGGACUCGCGGCUUAUCAGCUUGGUGGUGGGGUAGUGGCUUACCAAGGCUUUGACGGGUAGCCGGCCUGAGAGGGUGACCGGCCACAUUGGGACUGAGAUACGGCCCAGACGCCUACGGGAGGCAGCAGUGGGGAAUAUUGCACAAUGGGUGGAAGCCUGAUGCAGCAACGCCGUGUGCGGGAUGACGGCCUUCGGGUUGUAAACCGCUUUCGCUCAUGACGAAGCUUUGUGUGACGGUAGUGGGUAAAGAAGCACCGGCUAACUACGUG